rnacentral:rRNA from 1 species
UACGGAGGAUGCGAGCGUUAUCCGGAUUUAUUGGGUUUAAAGGGAGCGUAGACGGGGGGAUUAAGUCAGUUGUGAAAGGCUGCGGCUCAACCGCAGCACUGCAGUUGAUACUGGUUUCCUUGAGUGCGGUUGAGGUGUAUGGAAUUCGUGGUGUAGCGGUGAAAUGCUUAGAUAUCACGAAGAACUCCGAUUGCGAAGGCAGAACACUAAGCCGUAACUGACGUUGAGGCUCGAAAGUGUGGGUAUCAAACAGG